UGGCUGUCGUCAGCUCGUGUCGUGAGAUGUUCGGUUAAGUCCGGCAACGAGCGCAACCCACAUCCCUAGUUGCCAGCAGUUCGGCUGGGCACUCUAUGGAAACUGCCCGUGAUAAGCGGGAGGAAGGUGUGGAUGACGUCAAGUCCUCAUGGCCCUUACGGGUUGGGCUACACACGUGCUACAAUGGCGCAUACAGAGGGCAGCCAACUUGCGAGAGUGAGCGAAUCCCAAAAAGUGCGUCGUAGUCCGGAUCGGAGUCUGCAACUCGACUCCGUGAAGUCGGAAUCGCUAGUAAUCGUGGAUCAGAAUGCCACGGUGAAUACGUUCCCGGGCCUUGUACACACCGCCCGUGGGGCGGGGGCGGCGGGCCGGGCGCGGGGCGCGGGGGGCG
rnacentral:rRNA from 1 species